AUUGAACGCUGGCGGCAGGCUUAACACAUGCAAGUCGAGCGGAGAUAAGGUGCUUGCACCUUAUCUUAGCGGCGGACGGGUGAGUAAUGCUUAGGAAUCUGCCUAUUAGUGGGGGACAACAUUCCGAAAGGAAUGCUAAUACCGCAUACGUCCUACGGGAGAAAGCAGGGGAUCUUCGGACCUUGCGCUAAUAGAUGAGCCUAAGUCGGAUCAGCUAGUUGGUGGGGUAAAGGCCUACCAAGGCGACGAUCUGUAGCGGGUCUGAGAGGAUGAUCCGCCACACUGGGACUGAGACACGGCCCAGACUCCUACGGGAGGUAGCAGUGGGGAAGAUUGGACAAUGGGGGAAACCCUGAUCCAGCCAUGCCGCGUGUGUGAAGAAGGCCUUAUGGUUGUAAAGCACUUUAAGCGAGGAGGAGGCUACUGAGACUAAUACUCUUGGAUAGUGGACGUUACUCGCAGAAUAAGCACCGGCUAACUCUGUGCCAGCCGCCGCAGUAACAC
rnacentral:rRNA from 1 species